AAAGUCCUUCCCAGCAGCGGAGGACUCCCCUCAUGUAUGAUCCUAAUUGAAAUCAACAUCGCCCAGGCCGGCCCUUCCUCAGCCUUACAGAUCAAUGGACAAGAGGCCGGAGGGGUGGAGAGGUGGGGACCAGGUCCCCUCAGCCCUAGAGGGGUUUCUGGUGACUUCUGCCCGGAAGUUUUGGAAGAAUGAUGAGGUGCCAAAAUGCUUAAUCAGGAGAAAUGAGCAAAUCAUAAGAAGACUUAGAAUGCUCCCAAAUCUGACUUCCAUGGGCACUCAUAGAUUGCCUGUGGAAGGAGCCUGGUCCUACUUCACCAUGUACUAAGAGUUUUUAAAUCCUUAAACAGAGAGGGUUUCUGCUACAUGUGUUUUAGUUUAUUGGAGAUCCUAUGCACCAGCACACUCUCCUUCUUUGAUUGCCUAUUUUAACAGCCAAACCAGCUUAGUGCAUAAGACAAGAGUCCUUGUUUAAGCCUGGAUAAGAACUAUUGACUUUCUACCUAUUCGAUUAAACAAUAAAGUUGUACUUACAUUUCAUUGUGUGUAAGUGAAAACCAA
rnacentral:lncRNA from 12 species